rnacentral:rRNA from 1 species
UAGGGAAUCUUCCGCAAUGGGCGAAAGCCUGACGGAGCAACGCCGCGUGAGUGAUGAAGGUCUUCGGAUCGUAAAACUCUGUUAUUAGGGAAGAACAAAUGUGUAAGUAACUAUGCACGUCUUGACGGUACCUAAUCAGAAAGCCACGGCUAACUACGUGCCAGCAGCCGCGGUAAUACGUAGGUGGCAAGCGUUAUCCGGAAUUAUUGGGCGUAAAGCGCGCGUAGGCGGUUUUUUAAGUCUGAUGUGAAAGCCCACGGCUCAACCGUGGAGGGUCAUUGGGAACUGGAAAAAUUGAGUGCAGAAGAGGAAAGUGGAAUUCCAUGUGUGGGAGUGAAAUGCGCAGAGAUAUGGAGGAACACCAGUGGCGAAGGCGAGUUUCUGGUCUGUAACUGACGCUGAUGUGCGAAAGCGUGGGGAUCAAACAGG